UACAGAGGGUGCAAGCGUUAAUCGGAAUUACUGGGCGUAAAGGGCGCGUAGGCGGUAAAUUAAGUUGGAGGUGAAAGCCCUGGGCUCAACCUGGGAAUUGCCUCUAAGACUGAUUUGCUAGAGUAGGGUAGAGGGAAGUGGAAUUUCCGGUGUAGCGGUGAAAUGCGUAGAUAUCGGAAAGAACAUCAGUGGCGAAGGCGGCUUCCUGGACUUAUACUGACGCUGAGGCGCGAAAGCAUGGGGAGCAAACAGG
rnacentral:rRNA from 1 species